rnacentral:tRNA from 1 species
GGAGAGAUGGCAGAGCGGUUGAAUGCGGCGGUCUUGAAAACCGCUGAACCUUCACGGGUUCCGUGGGUUCGAAUCCCACUCUCUCCUCCA